ensembl:snoRNA
CUUGAGGUCUUUCCCAGGGGGCUUCUCCUGUGGCUGCACAUUGUUGGAAAUGUCUCAUAGAGUCACACUGUCAUUCUGCUUUGCUCACAGGUCAAUUUCUUAGGCCUUUGAUAAGGCAGUAUAAGACAGCA